rnacentral:lncRNA from 1 species
CAUCAAAACACAUAAGAAUGAUCAGUCUGAUUCGGAGGAUGUUGGAAGUCACUGUCUCCAGCAAUACAGUUAACACUGCUGCAAUGCACAUUGCAUCAGUCUUGCAAUAGCAUGAUAUCAACAUUGUCAUGAACACCUUGUAAAAGCAGCUCUCCUUGGUAAGUGACAAUCUUUCGUCGUUUUGCAGCCUUAAGAGUUCCCACCAGGGCUUCAAAGAGGUUGGCACACUUUUCAUCAGCGAAGAGCACACCAAAUUUCACACUCACUUGUCCAUCGGCAUUUUUGGUCCCCAGCCGUCGAAUCUCCUCAACUAAGAGGCUAAUUUCAUGUUCCACGUUCAUUGUGCUCCGCUCCCACCGCCGCUCUCUG